UACGGGGGGGGCAAGCGUUGUUCGGAAUUACUGGGCGUAAAGGGCUCGUAGGCGGCCAACUAAGUCAGACGUGAAAUCCCUCGGCUUAACCGGGGAACUGCAUCUGAUACUGGAUGACUUGAGUUCGGGAGAGGGAUGCGGAAUUCCAGGUGUAGCGGUGAAAUGCGUAGAUAUCUGGAGGAACACCGGUGGCGAAGGCGGCAUCCUGGACCGACGCUGACGCUGAGGAGCGAAAGCCAGGGGAGCAAACGGG
rnacentral:rRNA from 1 species